rnacentral:rRNA from 1 species
AGCGUAGACGGCGACGCAGGUCUGAAGUGAAAUACCCGGGCUCAACCUGGGAACUGCUUUGGAAACUGUGUUGCUAGAGUGCUGGAGAGGUAAGCGGAAUUCCUAGUGUAGCGGUGAAAUGCGUAGAUAUUAGGAAGAACACCAGUGGCGAAGGCGGCUUACUGGACGGUAACUGACGUUGAGGCUCGAAAGCGUGGGGAGCAAAC